rnacentral:rRNA from 1 species
CAGUCGCCGCGGGAAUACGGAGGGUGCAAGCGUUAAUCGGAAUUACUGGGCGUAAAGCGCACGUAGGCGGACUUUUAAGUCAGGGGUGAAAUCCCGGGGCUCAACCCCGGAACUGCCUUUGAUACUGGGAGUCUUGAGUUCGAGAGAGGUGAGUGGAAUUGCGAGUGUAGAGGUGAAAUUCGUAGAUAUUCGCAGGAACACCAGUGGCGAAGGCGGCUCACUGGCUCGAUACUGACGCUGAGGUGCGAAAGCGUGGGGAGCAAACAGGAUUAGAUACCCCGGUAGUCCCUGUCUCUUAUAC